UACGUAGGGUGCAAGCGUUGUCCGGAAUUAUUGGGCGGAAAGAGCUCGUAGGCGGUCUGUUGCGUCGGCUGUGAAAACCCGAGGCUCAACCUCGGGCCUGCAGCCGAUACGGGCAGACUAGAGUUCGGCAGGGGAGACUGGAAUUCCUGGUGUAGCGGUGAAAUGCGCAGAUAUCAGGAAGAACACCCGUGGCUAAGGCGGCUCUCUAGUACGGUACUGACGCUGAGACGCGAAAGCGUGGGGAGCGAACAGG
rnacentral:rRNA from 1 species